GACAGAGGGGGCAAGCGUUGCUCGGAAUUACUGGGCGUAAAGGGCGCGUAGGCGGAAUGGCAAGUCGGUCGUGAAAUCCUUCGGCUCAACCGAAGAACGUCGAUCGAAACUGCCGUUCUUGAGGAUUGCAGAGGAGACUGGAAUUCCCGGUGUAGCGGUGAAAUGUGUAGAGAUCGGGAGGAAUACCGAUGGCGAAGGCAGGUCUCUGGGCUGACACUGACGCUCAUGCACGAAAGCGUGGGGAGCAAACAGG
rnacentral:rRNA from 1 species